rnacentral:lncRNA from 1 species
GAGAAGGAAGCGAGACUCGCCGGAUGCGGUCGGGGAGAUGGUCUCGGCGCUGAGGACGCUGGGUGAUGGGUUCUUGAGGAUGGAACAGAUGAAGGUGGAGAUGGCGAGGGAGAUGGAGAAGGUGAGGAUGGAGAUGGAGUUGAAGCGCACCGAGAUGAUCCNNNNNNNNNNNNNNNNNNNNUGGAGAUGGAGUUGAAGCGCACCGAGAUGAUCCUCGAUUCCCAGCGCCGGAUCGUGGAUGCCUUCGUCAAGGGCUUCUUCCGGGGGAAGAAGAGGUCCAAGGUCUCUCCGGAGGCUUGAAGUGUUGCCUUUCUUUUGUUUCCGACUUCUCUUUUUAUUAAGGCUUUGUAUGAAAGUAGAUAUAGAAUUCAGUGUGGAAGCUGGAUGCAUGGUAGCAGGGGGACGGGGUGCUUUGUUUCUGUUUAUUGUUUUUACUAUGGAAUCAUAUAUGAAGCCCUGACUUGAAUUAUUUCGACUUCUUUUUCGUUCUUCUUAUGUAGAGCUAAUAAGUGUCGGUUUCUCUUGCUCUGAGUUGGCCUUGUGGUGGAAUUGCUUUUCUCCUGCUUUGGAAACUUCCAUGUCAAGGCUCUUACUUUUUGCUUUGUAAAUUCUGUGUGGUUACUGACAAGAUCAAACUUCUUGUAAUCUUGACUGUCCGUUGCUGAUGCUACUAUUUGAUGUCAUCAUGUUAUUAAUUGAAGCAGGAUCUUCUUGCUGUAUAUUAUAUCAGGGCAGUGGAAAAUGUUUUUCUUCUUUCAUUGUUUAAUUUUCUUAAUUUGUUGAAAGAAAUCACCUCCUGUAUGACUAGAAAAAAUUAGUAUUUGUUGAACUUUUUACCAUGCAGAUUUAUCAAAUUUUCAUUUCUUAUUCUUGGUUUCUAUAUUUUUGGUAAAUGAAGUAAUUAUAUUAUUAAUUUUUAUUUUCUUUGCUUUUAUCAGUGUUUUUCUUGCCAGGGAAAGAUGUGAA